rnacentral:lncRNA from 1 species
UGUCAGUGCAUCCUCAUUCUUCUUGGGCACAGGACAAGAACUCAGGAACAGGUGACUGCGUGCUGUAGAGAAAGUACCCACAGCUCUGCAGAAUGGUGCCAUGACAAACUCAAAGUCAUCACCCUCAACUGGACAGUCAACUCUUUUAUUGUCCUCAAGUUAAAGGGUCGCACCUCUCUCCUCAAGUCCCCUUCUCAGGCUCACCUAUUACCUUUGGAUAGAUGACCCAACCUCCUACUUGACUGAGAAAAGGUAGCCACUAGGGACUAGCCUCUUGAAUCCACCUACCUCCUUACAAUGAUUCUGUCUACACCCAAUCAUACCUCUUUCCAUCAGUCUCCAAACACAAGGUGUCCCUUCUUAAAUCCAAGACAAUCUCUGUAAACCUGCUCCAAAUCCCCUCCCUUUCUCCCAUGGACUUUGCCUGUUUUGACAUCCCCUCUCUGUCCCGAAGUUUAAACUCUACCUCGCUAUGGGGCUUGGGGGGCUCAUUUUCCUCGGUUCAGCAACAGACUCAAAUCUCACCCAUCCCAAAAUAAAAUCCCUCCUUUGUGUGCUGUGGGGCAGACAUUCUCACGCACUGCAGGUGGGAAUGUAAAUUGGCAAGAUCUUUCUGGGAAGCAAUUUGGUAACCUGAGUCAAAAGCCUGAAAAAUAUUUGCACCCUUUGUCCCAGUAAUCCUACCUCUAAAAAAUUCAUCUAAGGAAAUAAUCAGAAAUGCUGACAAAGGUAGAUGUUUAAAGAUGUUAAUCUCUCUGUUAUUUUAACAGCAAAAAUUGGAAACAAUCUAAAGGCUUAACAAUAGGGGAUAACUUAAAUAAAUUGUACUUAAAUGUAAUAAAAUACUGUACUAUCACUAAAAAUACAAUUUUAAAAAGCAUAAUUGAAUGGGAAACUGUUCAUGAAGCAAUGUUGGCUGUGAAGACGGCAGCACAGAAACAGUAGAUACAGUCUGGUGCUGAUUUUGUUACAUAUAAAAAUAGCUAACACUUCUGGAAUGUUAACUAUUAUAUACGUUCUCUCAC